CUAGUUUCAGAUUGUUCGAGUGUCAAAAGCAUUGUUUUCUUCAUUUUGUUGAUAGAUCUGGGGGUUCUGUUGGGAAAUGGAAGAUAUCCUUAAAAAAACAGCACCACCUACAAUAAUAACGUGCAACAUCUCUUCCUGGAAUGCAUUCUGUCAUUGUUCUCCUAGUGGAUGUCAGGAUCUUCCUGUUCAAGAAGCAGCUCCAGGCUGUCUCCAUUGGCACUCCUUUGGAUGUGCUCAUUUCUUUCUCUCAUACGUCUCCCCCAACAAUCUGUAAGCUCC
rnacentral:lncRNA from 1 species